UCAGUACCUUUUUUAGUGCACAGCUUGCACUCAGAAAGAGAAAUGAGGGGAUCAUUGCUGCUAGUUAUGGAAGUUCAGCAUGGCAGGACUCCAGAGCAAGCAAGUGCAUGGCAGUGGCACCUAUUCCUGCUGGCUGCCAACAUUCCUGUACAACUCAUACCAGCUUUACCAAAUCAGCAGAAGGAAUUUGUUUUGAUUACUGAUGCAUUCAAUAUUGCUUCUUCCAGGUCAUAAUCAUUCCACUGAUGUCCCACUGAAAAUUUCCACUCAGCAGGCGUUUGCCACGUGCCUGCUGUCCCCUUCCCCACCUGGCUGGGGAUGGCUGGGCCACGGAGGAAAAGACCAACAUGGAAGUUUUGAAUCCCAUGGAGCACCACCACCUCAUUUCCAGUGUGCCCCACUGGUACAACAAGGGAGCUUCCUACUAAUACAUGGUUUCAAGAUAGCAAGGAUGUAGUGCAACUCUAGCCUUGAGACAGAAAGGUACUGACUAGAAAGUGAAAAGCUAUCAGCCUCAGCAAGCCUGCAGACAUUAUGGUUCACUGCCUAAAUUGCAUUCAUACAACUCUCAUCAUAAGAAAUAUGCUGGCUUGUGAUGAAAGAAAGUUGUUGCAUCAGUGAGAGUUCCUGGCAAUACUCAGCUUCCCAGAGAAGAGCUUGUCUUGGGUAAUCUCACAGAAAAAGGAACAGUGGCUGGGUUCCAAGCUGCAGAUCCUAACUCAGAAUGAAAUUUCUCUGCACUGCCCAGCAGCAAGUCCUGUUCCAAAGAGUGCACUAUUUAAGUAGGCAUGAUGGACAAAGAGCAGCAGCAGAAAAUCAUCAUUAUUCCCUGCUUCACGGGUGGGAAACUGAAAGACAGAUUCAAUGACCGUCCAAGGGUCACACAGGAAAAGGAGUAAUUCAUAAAUCCCAGUACAAGGUCUUAAACCAUGAGAUUUCCUCUCAUUCUUUAAUCAAUAAUAAAACAUCACAGAUGUCUAAGAAUCUAAUAUCUGCAAAACUGCUCCAAGGUCUAUAGGCAUGAUACAAUUAAUUUCCAUUAAGAGCAAUGUGAUGUGAGGGCAC